rnacentral:lncRNA from 1 species
UCCUAAUCGAUUUUGUAAAGUUAUAAAAGGUGCUAAAUCGAUUUUCCAAUCGAUUAUCGCGAUCUUGGUUUUCUUUAAUCUUGAAACUAUACAAGCUAAUCGAUUUACCAAUCGAUUCUUUAAAAGCAACACUUUUCAGUAGAACAUGUCCAGACUUGCAUAAAUCGAUUGCCUAAUCGAUUUCUGGGAAACUGUUUCAAUAAAAGUAUUUCAAUCGAUUUCUCAAUCGAUUUGCCAAAUCUCAGAGUUCACUGUGUUUUCAAAAAGUUUAUUUCAAUCGAUUUGCCAAUCGAUUGUGUUCAAAACAGUGGCUCAGUUUUUGAUGUCAAUCGAUUCGCCAAUCGAUUUAAUUCAAAACAGUGACUCAGUUAUUUGAUGUCAAUCGACUUGUCAAUCGCUUUGGUAGCAUGUUCCUGAAAAG